UACAUGUGGGGCAAGCGUUGUUCGGAAUUACUGGGCGUAAAGGGCUCGUAGGCGGCCAACUAAGUCAGACGUGAAAUCCCUCGGCUUAACCGGGGAACUGCGUCUGAUACUGGAUGGCUUGAGGUUGGGAGAGGGAUGCGGAAUUCCAGGUGUAGCGGUGAAAUGCGUAGAUAUCUGGAGGAACACCGGUGGCGAAGGCGGCAUCCUGGACCAAUACUGACACUGAGGAGCGAAAGCCAGGGGAGCAAACGGG
rnacentral:rRNA from 1 species